rnacentral:lncRNA from 1 species
GGUUCGCCAGCCACAACUAAGAGAAUCACGCCAGUCCUCAGGACUCGAGAUGGAUUUAAAAACUCUGUGAACCUAGUCCCUGUCCCUUCAGCUCAGAUUAUAUUUGCGGACAACUCUAAGAAGCUAAGCCCCAAGGGUGGAUUUUCUUUUCGCCUCUCCCACCCUCAGCAUCUCGGAGCUGGUCACUUGAGAAGCAAAGAGUCUGCAGAUUCGGCAGCGUCUCUCCUCUUGAGGAAAGGCUAUCGGGCCGAUACUAAGUCCGCUACUUCUUCCACUGGCUCCCUCUCCGGCAGUCUGGCAAAGGAUGAGAAGUUUCCACUUGUCCAAUCCCUGAGAGUUCAGCCCAAGCAUCACUCAGCAUCCUGUGUUGGCCAGAGUCCGAGCCCCGCGCCGCUUUGCCUAAUGCCUCUUUCCCCAAGACUACAGUACUUUCAACUACCAACAGUGCAUGUAGCGAAGCGACAACUGCAGCUGGCGCCCGAAGAUCGAAAAAAGAGAGAGUUUCACGGCACCAAUACCAGACAACCUAUUCUCCAAGAUUUGCCUACUAGUUCCCCGGUCACACCCCCACCUUCCCCGCUGCCACUGGAGGAACUAGAGCCACGACGCUGGGCCAAGUCCAGAGCGCGGCAUCCUUCAGGUUGCACAGUCACCCCGAAAGACCCCUGGCGAAAGGAAAAAGGAAAAACCAGAGCAGCAUGUAAACCAAGGGGAGAAGAAGCGGAGUCAGAAUGUAAUGAAUAAAACUGAAUUUGGCCCACAGACCCUUGCAGUGCUGGAGUCUUCCAUCCCAAUUAAUAUAACUUCUAUAUUCCGAGAGCUUCCAAGGAAAAUGAGAUCAUCUUCAGACAGCUCAGGCAUUGAGGGAUGUAGGUGGGCCGAAGAGACUUUCUUCAAACCAACCCAGAAAGAUGGUGGGAAAGAUGCCCAGAAACCUGAAAAGAAGGGUGGAAGCUCAAAAAAGUUUCAAUGCCAUAAAAGUACCCCAAGAAAUGCGGUGUUUAUCCUACCUAGAAGUGAGGCGAGAAAAAUAAAAUAAUUGCAGUGGAGAAAUACA